GCCAGACUCCUACGGGAGGCAGCAGUGGGGAAUAUUGCACAAUGGGGGGAACCCUGAUGCAGCGACGCCGCGUGGGCGAGGAAGUAUUUCGGUAUGUAAAGCCCUAUCGGCAGGGAAGAAGAAAUGACGGUACCUGAAUAAGAAGCACCGGCUAAAUACGUGCCAGCAGCCGCGGUAAUACGUAUGGUGCAAGCGUUAUCCGGAUUUACUGGGUGUAAAGGGAGCGUAGACGGCAGUGCAAGUCCGGAGUGAAAGCCCGGGGCUCAACCCUGGGACUGCUCUGGAAACUGUAAAGCUGGAGUGCGGGAGGGGCAGGCGGAAUUCCUGGUGUAGCGGUGAAAUGCGUAGAUAUCAGGAGGAACACCGGCGGCGAAGGCGGCCUGCUGGACCGUAACUGACGUUGAGGCCCGAAAGCGUGGGGAGCAAACAGGAUUAGAUACCCUAGUA
rnacentral:rRNA from 1 species